UUACGGUCAUAUCACGUUGAAACACCAAUUCUCGUACAAUUAUCGAAAUUAAGCAACGUCAAUCCUGGUCAGUACCUAGAUGGGUGACCCCGUGGGAAUAUCAGGUGAUGCAAU